CGUUAAAUGUACGACAAGUUCACCUCACCAUACCAACGACAACGAGGACAAUCCCUCCCUCUCCGAACUCCGCCUUAUUCUCUUCUCUCUUCGCAUUGACGACAUGGUGGAGCUGUCCUAUCAUGGAGUUUCUAUGGUCUUGCCAAUAACAAGUGUACCCUGAAAUCCAUCAGCCACAUAUCAUGACCAAAAUUCAUACUCUGUAGUUUGCAAACGUUCAAUAUACUACUUGUAUCCAUGAUCCUGGCCGAAACGUGUGGAAACUGUCCAGCUCACUGUAGGGAGGACUACAUAUGACUUUACCUUGAAGACUGAUCCGAAACCACCUUCUCCAAGUUUACUGUCGUUUGAAAAGCUAUUGGUUGCACGAACAACAGCAGCCAAGUCAAAUAAUGUGGAAUAUCUUAUAUCAAUCAGGUCGCUGAACCACAGCAAGCACCCCCUUCCUCCAUCCCGGACAUCCAAAUUCGCAAAAGCAGUGCAGGAGCAGAAGCUGUUCAUGCACA